rnacentral:rRNA from 1 species
CCUACGGGCUGCACCAGUAGGGAAUCUUCGGCAAUGGACAAAAGUCUGACCGAGCAACGCCGCGUGAGUGAAGAAGGUUUUCGGAUCGUAAAACUCUGUUGUUAGAGAAGAACAAGUAGGAGAGUAACUGCUCUUACCUUGACGGUAUCUAACCAGAAAGCCACGGCUAACUACGUGCCAGCAGCCGCGGAAAUACGUAGGUGGCAAGCGUUGUCCGGAUUUAUUGGGCGUAAAGCGAGCGCAGGCGGUCUUUUAAGUCUGAUGUGAAAGCCCUCGGCUCAACCGAGGAAGGUCAUUGGAAACUGGAGGACUUGAGUGCAGAAGAGGAGAGUGGAAUUCCAUGUGUAGCGGUGAAAUGCGUAGAUAUAUGGGGGAACACCAGUGGCGAAGGCGACUCUCUGGUCUGUAACUGACGCUGAGGCUCGAAAGCGUGGGGAGCAAGCAGGAUUAGAUACCCCGGUAGUC